rnacentral:rRNA from 1 species
UACGAAGGGGGCUAGCGUUGUUCGGAAUUACUGGGCGUAAAGCGUCCGCAGGUGGUUGUUCAAGUCCGGUGUGAAAGCCCCCGCUCAACGGGGGGAGGGUCACUCGGAGACUGGGCGACUGGAGGAUAGCAGGAGGGGGAUGGAAUUCCCGGAGUAGUGGUGAUAUGCGUAGAAGACCGGGAGGAACACCGGUGGCGAAGGCGAUCCCCUGGCUACUCCGUGACACUCAUGGACGAAAGCGUGGGGAGCGAACCGG